rnacentral:rRNA from 1 species
UACGUAGGGUGCAGGCGUUAAUCGGAAUUACUGGGCGUAAAGCGUGCGCAGGCGGUCUGUUAAGAGAGAUGUGAAAUCCCCGGGCUUAACCUGGGAACUGCAUUCGAGACUGCAUUGCUAGAGUAUGGGAGAGGGAAGUGGAAUUUCCGGUGUAGCGGUGAAAUGCGUAGAUAUCGGAAGGAACAUCAGUGGCGAAAGCGACUUCCUGGACCAAUACUGACGCUCAUGUGCGAAAGCGUGGGGAGCAAACAGG